CAGCCGCCGCGGUAACACGUAGGGUGCAAGCGUUAAUCGGAAUUACUGGGCGUAAAGCGUGCGCAGGCGGUUAUAUAAGACAGAUGUGAAAUCCCCGGGCUCAACCUGGGAACUGCAUUUGUGACUGUAUAGCUAGAGUACGGCAGAGGGGGAUGGAAUUCCGCGUGUAGCAGUGAAAUGCGUAGAUAUGCGGAGGAACACCGAUGGCGAAGGCAAUCCCCUGGGCCUGUACUGACGCUCAUGCACGAAAGCGUGGGGAGCAAACAGGAUUAGAUACCCGCGUAGUCCCUGUCUCUUAUAC
rnacentral:rRNA from 1 species